AGUGAACGCUGGCGGUAGGCCUAACACAUGCAAGUCGAACGGCAGCACAGUAAGAGCUUGCUCUUACGGGUGGCGAGUGGCGGACGGGUGAGGAAUACAUCGGAAUCUACUUUUUCGCGGGGGAUAACGUAGGGAAACUUACGCUAAUACCGCAUACGACCUACGGGUGAAAGCAGGGGAUCUUCGGACCUUGCGCGAUUGAAUGAGCCGAUGUCGGAUUAGCUAGUUGGCGGGGUAAAGGCCCACCAAGGCGACGAUCCGUAGCUGGUCUGAGAGGAUGAUCAGCCACACUGGAACUGAGACACGGUCCAGACUCCUACGGGAGGCAGCAGUGGGGAAUAUUGGACAAUGGGCGCAAGCCUGAUCCAGCCAUACCGCGUGGGUGAAGAAGGCCUUCGGGUUGUAAAGCCCUUUUGUUGGGAAAGAAAAGCAGCAGGUUAAUACCCCGCUGUUCUGACGGUACCCAAGGAAUAAGCACCGGCUAACUUCGUG
rnacentral:rRNA from 1 species